AUAAUACUCCAUAGAUUAGAGACACUGGAAUGUUCUUUAGUCGAAAGUUCUGGCGCCUUAGGAUGGAUCUGCGGUCGAUUAGGUUGUUGUUGGGGUAACGGCCCAACAAGCCUGUAAUCGAUACGGGUUGUGGGAGCAAGAGCCCGGAGAUGGAAUCUGAGACACGAUUCCAGGCCCUACGGGGCGCAGCAGGCGCGAAAACUUUACAAUGCAGGAAACUGUGAUAAGGGAACUCCGAGUGCCCGUAUACGCGGGCUGUCCAGGUGUUUAAAAAUCAUCUGAAGAAAGGGCCGGGCAAGACCGGUGCCAGCCGCCGCGGUAAUACCGGCGGCUCGAGUGGUGGCCACUAUUAUUGGGCUUAAAGCGUCCGUAGCUGGACCGAUAAGUCUCUUGGGAAAUCCGCCGGCUCAACCGGCGGGCGUCUAAGGGAUACUGUUAGUCUAGGGACCGGGAGAGGUGAGAGGUACUCCGGGGGUAGGAGUGAAAUCCUGUAAUCCCCGGGGGACCACCGAUGGCGAAGGCAUCUCACCAGAACGGCUCCGACAGUGGGGGACGAAAGCUGGGGGAGCGAACCGGAUUAGAUACCCGGGUAGUCCCAGCCGUAACUAUGCGCGUUAGGUGU
rnacentral:rRNA from 1 species